UACGUAUGUCCCGAGCGUUAUCCGGAUUUAUUGGGCGUAAAGCGAGCGCAGACGGUUCGUUAAGUCUGAAGUGAAAGCCCACAGCUCAACUGUGGAAUGGCUUUGGAAACUGGCGAACUUGAGUGCAGUAGAGGCAAGUGGAACUCCAUGUGUAGCGGUGGAAUGCGUAGAUAUAUGGAAGAACACCAGUGGCGAAGGCGGCUUGCUGGACUGUAACUGACGUUGAGGCUCGAAAGUGUGGGUAGCAAAC
rnacentral:rRNA from 1 species